CUGGCGGCGUGCCUACACAUGCAAGUCGAACGCGACUGUGGCUUCGGCCCAGUUGAGUGGCGAACGGGUGAGUAACACGUGGGUGACCUACCUUCGAGUGGGGGAUAACGUCCCGAAAGGGACGCUAAUACCGCAUAACGUCCUGCCUUUGAACAGGUGGAGACCAAAGCCGGGGAUCGCAAGACCUGGCGUUUGAAGAGGGGCCCUGCUGUCCGAUUAGCUAGUUGGUGAGGUAACGGGCUCACCAAGGCGACGAUCGGUAGCCGGCCUGAGAGGGCGGGACGGCCACACUGGGACUGAGACACGGCCCAGACUCCUACGGGAGGCAGCAGGUGGGGAAUUGUUCGCAAUGGGCGCAAGCCUGACGACGCAACGCCGCGUGGAGGAUGAAGGUCUUCGGAUUGUAAACUCCUGUUGCUCGGGACGAAAUGCUCCAACCUAAUACGUUGGAGUUUGACGGUACCGAGUGAGGAAGCCCCGGCUAACUCUGUGCCAGCAGCCGCGGUAAUACAGAGGGGGCAAGCGUUGUUCGGGAAUUACUGGGCCGUAAAAGGGCGCGUAGGCCGGCCUGUUAAGUCCAACGUGAAAUCCCCGGGCUCAACCCGGACUUGCGUCCCAUACUGGCAGGCUUGAAUCCCGGGAGAGGGAUGCGGAAUCCAGUGUACGGUAAAUGCUAAUAUCUGGAGGACACCGGUGGCGAGGCGGCAUUCCUGGACCCGGCAUUGACGUUAGGCCGGAAAGCAGGGAACCAACCGGAUUAAAAUACCCCGGUAGUCCUGGCCCUAAAACGAUGAAUGCUUGGGUGUGGCGGGGAUCGGAUUCCCUUGCCGUCCGGAAGCUAACGCAUUAAGCAUUCCGCCUGGGGAGUACGGGUCGCAAGGCUGAAACUCAAAGGAAUGACGGGGGGCCCCGCACAAGCGGUGGAGCAUGUGGUUUAAUUCGGACGCAACGAGAAGAACCUUACCCAGGCUCGAACGGCAGAUGACAUCCUACGAAAGUAGGCUCCCGCAAGGGCAUCUGUCGAGGUGCUGCAUGGCUGUCGUCAGCUCGUGUCGUGAGAUGUUGGGUUAAGUCCCGCAACGAGCGCAACCCUUGUCUUCUGUUGCCAUCGGGUCAAGCCGGGCACUCUGAAGAGACUGCCGGUGACAAACCGGAGGAAGGUGGGGAUGACGUCAAGUCAGCAUGGCCUUUAUGUCUGGGGCCACACACGUGCUACAAUGGCAGAUACAAACCGUCGCGAGACCGCAAGGUGGAGCUAAUCGGAUAAAGUNANNAUCAGUUCGGAUUGUCGGCUGCAACUCGCCGGCAUGAAGUUGGAAUCGCUAGUAAUCGCGGAUCAGCACGCCGCGGUGAAUACGUUCCCGGGCCUUGUACACACCGCCCGUCACAUCACGAAAGCUGGCUGUACUAGAAGUCGCUGAGCCAACCCGCAAGGGAGGCAGGCGCCUAAGGUA
rnacentral:rRNA from 1 species